rnacentral:rRNA from 1 species
UCAGUCGACUCCUACGGGGAGGCAGCAGUGGGGAAUAUUGCACAAUGGGGGAAACCCUGAUGCAGCCAUGCCGCGUGUGUGAAGAAGGACCUUCGGGUUGUAAAGCACUUUGAGUAGGGAGGAAGGUAGUGUAGUUAACACCUGCAUUAUUUGACGUUACCUACAGAAGAAGCACCGGCUAACUCCGUGCCAGCAGCCGCGGUAAUACGGAGGGUGCGAGCGUUAAUCGGAAUUACUGGGCGUAAAGCGCAUGCAGGCGGCCUGUUAAGUCAGAUGUGAAAGACCCGGGGCUUAACCUCGGAAUUGCAUUUGAAACUGGCAGGCUAGAGUCUUGUAGAGGGGGGUAGGAAUUUCAGGUGUAGCGGUGAAAUGCGUAGAGAUCUGAAGGAAUACCAGUGGCGAAGGCGGCCCCCUGGACAAAGACUGACGCUCAGAUGCGAAAGCGUGGGGAGCAAACAGGAUUAGAUACCCUGGUAG